rnacentral:lncRNA from 1 species
AUGGGUGGGGUGCCACCCAAAGUUUGGGGCACUUGGGGUGCAGAGCAUGGGGUCCGUGAGUGGGGGUGCACCCCUAGAGUUUGGGGCACUGGGAAGGGUGACUCACCGGCCCCCGCCCUGGCUGGGGCUCCAGGCGCUCCCUCAGCAGCAGAUCCCUCCCAGGCCGCCCGCUCCGCUGCCGCCGCCGCUGCCACCGCAGUUGCCCCACCGGCCCCUCCCCCUGCCCGCCCCGCCCGGCCCCGCCCCGCCCCGGCCUCGCGCCCCGUCGCCCCCUCGCGGUCCACACACACCGCCCUCGCUGGGUUCCAAUGCGCAGGCGCACAAUGCUCUGAUGCGUGCCUUCCCCUUCUCCCUCAACCCGACCCAAGGUGCUGGCGCAGGCGCAGAAGUUCACCCUUCUCUAAUCCUCUUUCCUCUGUCAAUCAACAAACUGCCUUCCAUCCAUCAUCCAGAGGAACAUCCCUAAAGAAGGGUUCUUCCAUCCUAUCCCUGCGACUACCACCUGCUGUGGGGGCAGGCAAGCCAGCCUUGCAGAAGCAAAGAGGACAUGUGCCAGAUGGGUUAAGCCACCUUGACCACCACCUCCUCUCAGGACCUGGAGGAAAGAUCUCCAAAAUCCUGAGCUUAGUCUUGAAUACAGCAAUUCCCCUGCCCCCACCUUGGGUCCUGUCUCCAGACUGGCCCCACAGCAUUAGUCCAGGAAAGCAGCCCCCAUGGAGAUACAAUCUGUCAACUGUCUGUGCAGCCCUCACCUCCUGAGGACCUGGAAUAGAAAGAUCCAACUACCAAGGUCCUUGGCACUGUCCAGUGAUUGAACAGCAGAAACCAAUAGGGUUUUAGUAACAUCACUAGCUGUUAAAGAAAAUAGUUACCAUCUGCUUUGUCAAUGCACCCAAAAGACACCAGAGCCCUUCCAUCUGACUUGCAACUGAAACUUCCUCUUGGAACUGCCUCUUCCUAUUAGAAGGAGAACUGUAUACAAGCAGUAACCAGCUUGUUUUUCUGACGGUAGCCCUAGUGCUUUGCCUAAGCAUUUAAUAAAUGAAUUUUCUUUUAUUCA